GACGAACCGAGCGAACGUUGUUCGGAAUCACUGGGCUUAAAGGGCGCGUAGGCGGCUUGCCAAGUCAGGGGUGAAAUUUUGCGGCUUAACCGUAACAGUGCCUUUGAUACUGGCAGGCUAGAGGGGGACAGGGGUCCGCGGAACUUCUGGUGGAGCGGUGAAAUGCGUUGAUAUCAGAAGGAACGCCGGUGGCGAAAGCGGCGGACUGGAUCCUUUCUGACGCUGAGGCGCGAAAGCUAGGGGAGCAAACGGG
rnacentral:rRNA from 1 species